rnacentral:rRNA from 1 species
GAGUUUGAUCCUGGCUCAGGAUGAACGCUGGCGGCGUGCCUUAGGCAUGCAAGUCGAAUGGGGCCGCAAGGCCCAAUGGCAGACGGGUGAGUAAAAGUAAGGAAUCUACCCUAAAGUGGAGGAUAGCUCGCCGAAAGGCGGGGUAAUCCUGCAUAGUCUCGUAAGAGUAAAGGGCGUAACUGCCCGCUUUAGGAGGAGCCUUACACCUAUCAGCUAGUUGGUGGGGUAAUGGCCUACCAAGGCUAUGACGGGUAACUGGUGUGAGAGCACGACCAGUCACAAUGGCACUGAGACACGGGCCAUACACCUACGGGUGGCAGCAACCGGGAAUCGUCGACAAUGGACGAAAGUCUGAUCGCGCGACGCCGCGUGAAGGAUGAAGCAUUUCGGUGUGUAAACUUCUUUUAUUUAGUCACCGAGACUAGAUGAAUAAGCCUCUACUAACUACGUGCCAGCAGUCGCGGUAAUACGUAGGAGGCAAGCGUUAUCCGAAUUUACUGGGCGUAAAGUGUCGCGUAGGCGGCACCUCGCAUCUUGCUUUAAAGACCCUGGCUUAACCAGGGUACGGGCAAGAGAUGGAGGAGCUAGAGAUUUAGUGGGGUGAGUGGAACUUACGGUGUAGCAGUGAAAUGCGUUGAUAUCGUAAGGAACACCGAGAGCGAAGGCAGCUCACUAACUAAAUACUGACGCUGAGGCACGACAGCUAGGGGAGCGAAGCAGAUUAGAGACCUGCGUAGUCCUAGCCGUAAACGCAUGAAUGCUAGUUGCUCGAUGUAUAUUGAGUGACGUAAGUCAACACG